rnacentral:rRNA from 1 species
UACAGAGGGUGCAAGCGUUGUUCGGAAUUAUUGGGCGUAAAGAGUGUGUAGGCGGUGCUCUAAGUUCGGUGUGAAAUCUCCUGGCUCAACUGGGAGGGUGCGCCGGAAACUGGAGUGCUUGAGCGUGGGAGAGGAAAGCGGAAUUCCUGGUGUAGCGGUGAAAUGCGUAGAUAUCAGGAGGAACACCUGUGGUGUAGACGACUUUCUGGACCAUAACUGACGCUGAGACACGAAAGCGUGGGUAGCAAACAGG